rnacentral:misc_RNA from 1 species
CAUCCCUUCAGAUUUGGGCAAUCUAGCCAGAGUUUCUCUAAGGAAGGGAAGAACAAUGCAUUGUCGCAAUUAAUCGCACUCUCUAUGUACUCCAGAUCAGUUAAAUUAUAAAUCCCCAAAUUUUUAAGUGAAGGGAACUGAUCCAACGGGGGAAAAUGCUGGCAUUUUUUGCAGUUAUCAAUUCGAAGAUUCACCAAAUUAGUGAGGGAAGAAAUCCAGCUUGGAAACAUGAGUCUUCCACACCCAUACACAAAAAAUUCUCUUAGAUUAAGGUGUGGCCGC